GAUGAACGCUGGCGGCGUGCCUAAUACAUGCAAGUCGAGCGAACGGACGAGAAGCUUGCUUCUCUGAUGUUAGCGGCGGACGGGUGAGUAACACGUGGAUAACCUACCUAUAAGACUGGGAUAACUUCGGGAAACCGGAGCUAAUACCGGAUGAUAUUUUGAACCGCAUGGUUCAACAGUGAAAGACGGACUUGCUGUCACUUAUAGAUGGAUCCGCGCUGCAUUAGCUAGUUGGUAAGGUAACGGCUUACCAAGGCAACGAUGCAUAGCCGACCUGAGAGGGUGAUCGGCCACACUGGAACUGAGACACGGUCCAGACUCCUACGGGAGGCAGCAGUAGGGAAUCUUCCGCAAUGGGCGAAAGCCUGACGGAGCAACGCCGCGUGAGUGAUGAAGGUCUUCGGAUCGUAAAACUCUGUUAUUAGGGAAGAACAUAUGUGUAAGUAACUGUGCACAUCUUGACGGUACCUAAUCAGAAAGCCACGGCUAACUACGUG
rnacentral:rRNA from 1 species